rnacentral:rRNA from 1 species
CAGCAGCCACGGUAAAACGAAGGGUGCAAGCGUUAAUCGGAAUUACUGGGCGUAAAGCGUGCGUAGGCGGUUUGUUAAGUCUGUUGUGAAAUCCCCGGGCUCAACCUGGGAAUGGCAAUGGAUACUGGCAAGCUAGAGUGUGUCAGAGGAUGGUGGAAUUCCCGGUGUAGCGGUGAAAUGCGUAGAGAUCGGGAGGAACAUCAGUGGCGAAGGCGGCCAUCUGGGACAACACUGACGCUGAGGCACGAAAGCGUGGGGAGCAAACAGGAUUAGAUACCCCGGUAGUCCCUGUCUCUUAUAC